rnacentral:rRNA from 2 species
GCCUAAUACAUGCAGUCGAACGAACUCUGGUAUUGAUUGGUGCUUGCAUCAUGAUUUACAUUUGAGUGAGUGGCGAACUGGUGAGUAACACGUGGGAAACCUGCCCAGAAGCGGGGGAUAACACCUGGAAACAGAUGCUAAUACCGCAUAACAACUUGGACCGCAUGGUCCGAGUUUGAAAGAUGGCUUCGGCUAUCACUUUUGGAUGGUCCCGCGGCGUAUUAGCUAGAUGGUGGGGUAACGGCUCACCAUGGCAAUGAUACGUAGCCGACCUGAGAGGGUAAUCGGCCACAUUGGGACUGAGACACGGCCCAAACUCCUACGGGAGGCAGCAGUAGGGAAUCUUCCACAAUGGACGAAAGUCUGAUGGAGCAACGCCGCGUGAGUGAAGAAGGGUUUCGGCUCGUAAAACUCUGUUGUUAAAGAAGAACAUAUCUGAGAGUAACUGUUCAGGUAUUGACGGUAUUUAACCAGAAAGCCACGGCUAACUACGUGCCAGCAGCCGCGGUAAUACGUAGGUGGCAAGCGUUGUCCGGAUUUAUUGGGCGUAAAGCGAGCGCAGGCGGUUUUUUAAGUCUGAUGUGAAAGCCUUCGGCUCAACCGAAGAAGUGCAUCGGAAACUGGGAAACUUGAGUGCAGAAGAGGACAGUGGAACUCCAUGUGUAGCGGUGAAAUGCGUAGAUAUAUGGAAGAACACCAGUGGCGAAGGCGGCUGUCUGGUCUGUAACUGACGCUGAGGCUCGAAAGUAUGGGUAGCAAACAGGAUUAGAUACCCUGGUAGUCCAUACCGUAAACGAUGAAUGCUAAGUGUUGGAGGGUUUCCGCCCUUCAGUGCUGCAGCUAACGCAUUAAGCAUUCCGCCUGGGGAGUACGGCCGCAAGGCUGAAACUCAAAGGAAUUGACGGGGGCCUGCACAAGCGUG